AACGAACGCUGGCGGCGUGGAUAAGACAUGCAAGUCGAACGAGGUUACUCUUGGUAGCAAUACCGAGAGUGACUUAGUGGCGAACGGGUGCGUAACACGUGGGCAAUCCGCCUUAAAGUGGGGGAUAGCUCGGCGAAAGCCGAAUUAAUACCGCAUGUGAUCAGCCAAGACAUCUUGGCGACAUCAAAGCCGGGGCAACCUGGCGCUUUUUGAGGAGCCCGCGGCCUANCAGCUAGUUGGUGAGGUAACGGCCCACCAAGGCUUUGACGGGUAGCUGGUCUGAGAGGACGACCAGUCACACUGGAACUGAGACACGGUCCAGACACCUACGGGUGGCAGCAGUCGAGAAUUUUUCUCAAUGGGGGCAACCCUGAAGGAGCGACGCCGCGUGGAGGAUGAAGGCUUUUGGUGUAACUCCUGUCAUUUGAGAACAAGUGGCCGAACAAUAACUACUUCGGCCUUGAUAGUAUCAGAAGAGGAAGGGACGGCUAACUCUGUG
rnacentral:rRNA from 1 species